GACGAACGCUGGCGGCGUGCUUAACACAUGCAAGUCGAACGGAAAGGCCCUGCUUGCCGGGUACUCGAGUGGCGAACGGGUGAGUAACACGUGGGUGAUCUGCCCUCCACUUCGGGAUAAGCCUGGGAAACUGGGUCUAAUACCGGAUAGGUGCCAUUUUUAGAGUGAUGGUUGGAAAGUUUUUUCGGUGUAGGAUGAGCUCGCGGCCUAUCAGCUUGUUGGUGGGGUAAUGGCCUACCAAGGCGGCGACGGGUAGCCGGCCUGAGAGGGUGGACGGCCACAUUGGGACUGAGAGACGGCCCAGACUGCUACGGGAGGCAGCAGUGGGGAAUAUUGCACAAUGGGCGCAAGCCUGAUGCAGCGGCGCCGCGUGGGGGAUGACGGGCUUCGGGUUGAAAACGCCUUUCGCUAGGGACGAAGCUUUUUGUGACGGUACCUAGAGAAGAAGCACCGGCUAACUACGUG
rnacentral:rRNA from 1 species